rnacentral:rRNA from 1 species
AAAGCUCAAAUUUAAAAUCUGGUGGUCUUUGGCUACCCGAGUUGUAAUCUAGAGAAGCACCAUCCGCGCUGGACCGUGUAUAAGUCUCCUGGAAUGGAGCGUCAUAGAGGGUGAGAAUCCCGUCUUUGACACGGAUUACCAGGGCUUUGUGAUAUGCUCUCAAAGAGUCGAGUUGUUUGGGAAUGCAGCUCUAAAUGGGUGGUAAGUUCCAUCUAAAGCUAAAUAUUGGCGAGAGACCGAUAGCGAA